rfam:Trichosporon oleaginosus strain IBC0246 unplaced genomic scaffold CC85scaffold_30, whole genome shotgun sequence.
GGCAACUUGGCGGAGUGGUUAACGCGAUUGACUAGAAUCCUCGGUGCUCAACAAGAGCAGGUGGUGAUCAAUUUCCUUCGGGAGCGCAUGUUCGAAUCAUGCAGUUGUCG